AUUUACAUUUCAACAAGGCCCAUGUUCAUGUGUCAGAUUUUCUAAUAUAUCACAUAAUGAAUGGACCCUCUUAAACACUCAGAUUAUAACAGCCAAACUCACAAUCAACUGCUUAUGUCUUUGUGUAUCUUUCUCUAGCUUUCUUCCAAUAUCUUCUAUACAACCUUCUUUUUGCAGCUCUGAUUAAAGUGAAAUCCAACACUCUUGAAGAUGGUUGAGGCCUUUGUGUCAUUUGUAGUAGAAAAAUUGGGGGAUUUCUUCAUACAGGAAGUUUCCUUGUGUUUAAGUCUAAGAGAGGAUGUGCUGUGGCUGCGAAAUGAGCUGCUCUAACGAUGCAGAGGAAAAGCAAAGUGAAGAUCAAAGAGUUCAACAGUGGGUGUUUGAAAUCAAUUCUGUUGCUAAUGAUGAUGUCGCUAUACUGGAGACUUAUAACUUCGAGGCUGGUAAAGGUGAUGACUAUAGAUUUGCUAGUUGUCUGAAGGCCUGCACUUGCAUAUGUAGGAAGGAGCCCAAAUUCUACAAUGUCAGCAAGGAGAUCCAAUCACUCAAGCAGCGUAUCAUGGAUAUCUCUCACAAACGAGAGACUUAUGGUAUUAGAGAUAUCAAUAAUACAGGAGAAAGAUCAAGAAAUCGGCCAAACAAUCGGUCAGCCAUGGCUAGAACAUUGAGGAGAACUACCUCCUAUGUAGAUGAGGAGCAGAUUUUUGUUGGCUUUCAAGAUGUUGUAGAAAGACUGCUAGCUGAACUUCUCAAAUCAGAACCUCGUCGAAGCGUCAUCUCCAUUUAUGGUAUGGGAGGAGUAGGUAAGAUCACUCUUGUGAAAAAUCUCUACAUCAGUCUUAAUAUUAACUCUAGUUUCCCAACACGCGUUUGGAUAUGUGUUUCUCAACAGUACAUUAUCAUGGAUCUCCUUAAGAAUAUCAUAAAAUUCAUUCGAGAUCGCAACAAGAAAAUUCUUGAUUUGUUGAAAAUGAUCAAGACAGAUCUAGAAAUUUACCUUCGUGAUCUAUUAAAAGAACAUAAAUAUCUUGUGGUGGUUGAUGAUGUAUUUCAGAAAAAAGCUUAAAAAAGUUGAAAAAAAACAUUUUCGAACGGCAGCAGAGUUAUUAUUAUCACGAGUAAAGAUGAUGUCGCUGAAAGAGCAGAUUUGUCUAUAGACUUCGUUUCCUAGGCCAAGGAGAAAGUUGGGACCUCUUUUAUAGGAAACUACGCAAUGUUAAGGCGGUGGUGUCAGAAAUGCAAAGGUUAGCUAGAUAUAUGGUGAAAAAGUGUGGAGGCUUACCACUUGCAAUUGUUGUAUUAAGCGGACUACUUUCGCAUAAAAAGGGGUUAAAAGGAUGGCAAAAGGUAAAGGACCACCUUUGGGGUACAUUAAAGAUGACUCUACGAAAUCUUCUACAUACUAUCAUUGAGCUACAAUGAUUUGCCGACUGCGCUCAAGCAGUGUUUUCUUUACUUUGGUAUUUUUCCAGAAGAUCGUGUGAUUUAUGCUGAAAACAUUAUAUGGUUGUGGAUGGCUGAGGGUUUCAUACCAAACGGAGAAGAAAGAGCAGAGGAUGUCGCUGAAGACUUCUUGAAUGGGCUGAUAAGAUGAAGCUUGAUAAAAGAUUCAUUUUGGGAAAAAGUUAUUAAAUGUAGGAUUCAUGAUCUACUUCGGGAUCUUGCCGUACAAAAGGCAUUGGAGGUCGCAGAGGAAGAGUGAUGGGGGAGAUUUGUUUUUCAUCUGGAUGCUAUAGUGUAGUUAGCUAUAGAGCCUAAUGAGCUUAAGUGCAUCUCAUGCUCAGUUAACCCAAGAUCAAAGUGAUUUCCUUGAGGCUGCUCUCGGCUCUAACAAGGUGCUUUUGAGAAAUUCAUCAUUUUUCUUCUGGGGCUAUUUAUCGGAUCUCAGUUAUUGUAUGAUGAUGCUUUAGAACCAAUAGAUAUAGUAAUGGUCCUCUGUGUGGACUUAUAAGUUGGUUAUCUUAGAGUUCUUUUUCUGUAAUGCAGUCAGCAAUUUUUAAUACCCUCAAGUUUCUUGAUUGGGAGAAUUAAGUGCCGAAAAAUAUGCCGCCUAAACAUGUAUUGUUGAAAUUUGUGGAAUGUCAUGUUAUAAGCUA